CCUACGGGAGGCAGCAGUAAGGAAUAUUGGUCAAUGGACGCAAGUCUGAACCAGCCAUGCCGCGUGAAGGAUUAAGGCCCUCUGGGUUGUAAACUUCUUUUAUAGGGGACGAAAAAAGGGCAUUCUUGCUCACUUGACGGUACCCUAGGAAUAAGCACCGGCUAACUCCGUGCCAGCAGCCGCGGUAAUACGGAGGGUGCAAGCGUUAUCCGGAUUUACNGGGUUUAAAGGGUGCGUAGGUGGGUUGGUAAGUCAGUGGUGAAAUCUUCGAGCUUAACUCGGAAACUGCCAUUGAUACUAUCAAUCUUGAAUCAUCUAGAGGUAAGCGGAAUAUGUCAUGUAGCGGUGAAAUGCUUAGAUAUGACAUAGAACACCAAUUGCGAAGGCAGCUUACUAUGGAUGCAUUGACACUGAGGCACGAAAGCGUGGGGAUCAAACAGGAUUAGGAUACCCUGGUAGUCCAGCCCUAAACGAUGGAUACUCGACAUUUGUGAUAUAANAUAGUAGUNUGNGAGAGAGAGUAAGUA
rnacentral:rRNA from 1 species